GGAUUAUUCUUGGAUGAGACAAGGAGAGCUUUAGGAGCUCUAGGCCCUUGAGAGUUAUGGGAACUGUAGGAGUUCUGGAUAAUGUGAGAGCCUUAGGAGACUCUAGGCCGUGUAGGCACUUUGAGAGUUAUAGGAAACUCUAAGAGAUAUAGGAACGGUGAGAGUUAUAGGGAAUGCAGGAACUCUAGACACCGUGAGAGACGAUCAAACUCUUAGAGAGGUAGGAACGGUGAGAGUUGUAGGAAUUGCAGGAACUCUAGACACCGUGAGAGACGAUCAAACUCUAAAGUUUUAUUCUAAUGUGAAUGCGGAGGAAAGCUCGGUAUGGGUGUGCCCUUUGAACGAAGAACGCGGAUUCGUUGCUUACAUUUUCAGUUAGGAAAGUGAGGGCAAUGAUCCGCGAUGCUGAUUGGUUAU
rnacentral:misc_RNA from 1 species